rnacentral:rRNA from 1 species
GGAUUGGAGUCUGCAACUCGACUCCAUGAAGCUGGAUUCGCUAGUAAUCGCGGAUCAGAAUGCCGCGGUGAAUACGUUCCCGGGUCUUGUACACACCGCCCGUCACACCAUGGGAGUCGGGAAUGCCCGAAGCCGGUGGCCCGAUCGAAAGAAGGGAGCCGUCGAAGGUGGGUCCGAUAACUGGGGUGAAGUCGUAACAAGGUACC